rnacentral:rRNA from 1 species
GGAAUAUUGGACAAUGGGCGCAAGCCUGAUCCAGCCAUGCCGCGUGUGUGAAGAAGGCCUUCGGGUUGUAAAGCACUUUUGUACGGGAAGAAAAGCACUCGGUUAAUACCCGGGUGUCAUGACGGUACCGUAAGAAUAAGCACCGGCUAACUUCGUGCCAGCAGCCGCGGUAAUACGAAGGGUGCAAGCGUUACUCGGAAUUACUGGGCGUAAAGCGUGCGUAGGUGGUUUGUUAAGUCUGAUGUGAAAGCCCUGGGCUCAACCUGGGAAUUGCAUUGGAUACUGGCAGACUAGAGUGCGGUAGAGGGUAGCGGAAUUCCCGGUGUAGCAGUGAAAUGCGUAGAUAUCCGGAGGAACACCAGUGGCGAAGGCGGCCACCUGGGGCGAGACUGACGCUGAGGUGCGAAAGCGUGGGGAGCAAAC